CACAAGAUGAGCUAAAACCAGCUUUAGUUCUGAGCGGGGACCCACCGAAGGGCAGGCUAUUUUAGCUGCUGUCCAUCCUCAGAAUACUCUUGCGACCCAUUUUUUGCUCUCCAUUAGUUUAAAGGGUAAUCCAGACGUGGACCCCUUGCUCACGGUGCCUAGAGAGAUAUCAGCUAUGCCUCACUGACGAUGCCUAACAAGGCUGAAACGAUCGUCUGGGGUUACUGUAUCUCUCGUGCAGAGAGAACUUGCUGGCAUUUCGGAUCUGGACUGCCCGUAUGGGUGGGACCAGUCUGAUAUGCUUCAGAUAUG